rnacentral:lncRNA from 1 species
AUUUUCAAAGGAAAACUUCAGGCAGGUUAUAUAUGCUGAAAAAUAGAGACAUGGUGACUUGGAAUUCCUUCUCCUCCUCCAAACUCUGAGGCUGUUGGGUUGCUGAUGAAGAGUGACUGCUGUGAAGCUCUGCUUCAAGGUCUUAUUGUAGUCAACGCUUCCAAGCCAAAGUCAGGAAUGCCACUUCUGCCAUCUGCAUAGGUUGGCACUCACCCAGAUUUUGUGCUUUGUUCAGAAGAACAUGACACAAAGGAAUGUCUUGAGAAUUCACUUUUCCUAGUGCCAUACACAUAGAAGAAAUCCAGCCAGCAGAGGAAAUAGAUUGCCCAGCAGAAGCCAGAGGGUGACCACCAGGCUAGAGGAACGGGAACAGAGAUCUAGGGUUGAAAACAAGAAAUUGACUUUCUGGAGACAUUUUUGGAAUAAAUCAUACCACGUAAAAAUUAACAGAUGAAUAUAGGUGAUUAUUAAAAGGUGAAUAAGGACCACCUUUGGGAGGAGAAUCAAGAAUGACUUCCUGAAACCUAGAUAUGCAAAGUCAUUUUCUUACAUUUAUGGAAAAAGAAUGAAAUAUUUUAUGCAGGAAGAAAAAAUGAUAUAACCACCAUAUCAAGGUUA